GUUUAAAUGUAAAUAUCUUAAUAUGUAAAUACAAUCCCUUUCCCCCUAUCCAUCGAUACUACUUACCCUUAAUAUAACAAAUGAAUUAAAUAAAAAAAUGAAUUUGUAAAUAUACCUAAAUAAUUUAAAUUUGAAUUUGAAACCCUUCCUAUACAACCUCUGGUAUCUCCAUUCCCUUUAUGCACAAAAAACACAUGGCGCGAGAUACCAACCAUACGGAAGCAAAACUCUCCCGGGAAAUGUUUCGUAUACUAUGCUUCGUCAUGAUUUCGAAAAGUGAAUUUUGCAUAUAAGGCGAUGCAAGAGGAGCCAAAGGAUCUUUCCGGAACAAAAUUCCUCUGAUUUCGUGUGUGACCAAUCAGCAUACAAUUCGGUUUCUUGCUGCCAGAGUGUUCAGCGAAGUGGUCGGAAUAUCGACGAGUGCCCGAGCGUUCAAGCCCAGCUGGAAGAAUCCCGUAACUAAAAGGUCGAAAAACGGUUUCUCACCCGUCAGCAAUAUCUACAAGUCCUACCGACUGCCGUCGAGAAGUAGUCAACCCGGUCUUAGCCAAUAGGUCGAACAUCCUCGGCUGACGAGUAAUCUACGUAGCUGGUGUGGUCAGGUGAAUUUUUGUGCAAUCCCUCAUAAUCAGUUUAAAAGAAA